UCUCGCUUAUGGCCCAGUUCUUCUUUCUCGCGUAUUGGCCCUUUCUUCUCUCUUGCUUUCUCUCACUCGUGCUCGGUUGGACGGUGUGGGCUCAAGAACCUUCGGUGUUUCUCUGCGUUGGAUCGCCUACGUAGCCUUCUCUUCUCCCCCACCAUCCCUUUCUCUUCCCUCAAGUGGACAACUGGCAUUUGAAGCUUCUUGGGCCGCUCUCAGAGGUAGUGUCUUUGUUAUCUUAUCAUUCCGAUGAAGAUGAAGAUGAAGAUCAUAGAGCUUAUAUGGAUGUAAUGUCUAAGACUUAAGGUCAUGGUUUAAGUUUCCAAAAUUGGUAUUUCUAAUUUUUUUUUUGGGGUUUAAGCUCGGUAUAUCGCUGUUCUUUAAAAUGAGGACAUCUCAUUGAUGAAAACUUUAUGUGGAUUUGUGUUUCUGAAUGAUCUUUGUUUUGGUUAUUUGUUGCAUGACGUGUCUUCUAUUAAUAUUUCCAAUUCUGUUAAAAUAUUUGUUGGUGCUAUAUAUGAGUUAAUAGUUUGCAUGAUUAGUUGAGCAUCAAUAUGAUAUAUUAUUUCUCUGAUGCUUAUAUAAAUAAAUAUAUAUAUAUAUAUUCCUUGAUAAGAUUGAAAAUGAGUCUCAUAUAGAUUGUAAUGAAAUAUUGGAGCAGACCUUGAUUAGUUAUUAGCAAACAGGUGAUACCACAAAAUCUGAAUUGAAUCAAAACUCACAUUAUUAAUACGGUCAUGUGUCUUACACAAUUUUUUUUAUGCAGGAUUUUGCUUCAUACCCUGUUUUUCCUUUAUUAUCUUCUUAGCUUGGUACAUAAAACUUGGAAUGAGAGAUAUUCUAAUGUUAUGAAAAAAACUCAAGCCCCAAGGUAAAGAACUCGAGCUACUGAUCGCAAUCAUGCCUAACAGUUUGUUUAAGUUACUAUGUUCUAGUACUUGGGGGCUUGUUAUGCUCGCUUCCUUGCCAUUGAUUGUUUAUAGUUAGAAAUUUUGUACUUGUGGAGUGAUGAUUGAUCUAAAUGUUUGCUUGAUUUAGGACUGAAAGGAUGAAGUUCUCCAGGCUUGGUAAUGGAUGACUGUGAGUUAAGUCUUUUUUUUUUAAAAAAAAUUAUAGGGAAAAUUGGUUAUGCACUUGUGCCAAUGAUUGCUUAGGAAUUAAUGAUGGGCCCAAAUAAGCCUGUUUUAUGCACAUGCUUGAGAUUCCUCCUUCUCCAGAAGCCUUGAUUGUUGGUAAGAUGGAGUCAGUUGAUGCAGCGUUCUGUCUCCUCAAAGGAGGCACAUUGCUAUAGUCAAUGGGGUUUUACUAUGAAAACUUAUCAAUUUUGAUGUCAAGUAUUUAUGCUUGCUGACAUCCAUUAGUAAUGGGCCUUUUGACAAGUGAUUACACCUAUAAAGUCCAAGCGGAUCUUAUGGAGGUUUUGCAUAUACCCAAAUGCAUCAAGUUUGUUAGCAUAGUUAAUAAGGCCAAUCUGUUCUACAAGGUUUGCCUUUACCAAUGCUGGUUUAACUAUUACUAAUUGAAAAGUGCACAUUCAUGAAGGUACAUAAGAAGGCAUCUUUAGGAGAAAAGCCCUAUAUUGGGCACCAAAAUUAUCCUGAUUCUUCAAUUUGAAGCUCCAGAUCUUAGCUUUACUGACUUCCAAUCCUUCCAUCUCUCUCCCCUUUCUAAUCCAAUCUGGAAAGACAGCUCUUUGAUGACCUAGAAAGAAGGUACCGGUUGAUAGCUCUGAUUUCCUGAAAGAGUUUGGGCUGUGAUAAUAUUGAAGUGCAUCUCGUACUACUAUGUUAUUGGGGAAAUAAUUGCAUGACUGUGAAUUAUUUACCUACAAUAAUCUUCACAAUUUUUUUUGUAUUUGAUUUUUUUGUUCAAAGAAAAUGUAUAUAAAUACUUUUUGAU